UACGUAGGGUGCGAGCGUUAAUCGGAAUUACUGGGCGUAAAGCGUGCGCAGGCGGUGGCUCAAGCCAGGCGUGAAAUCCCCGGGCUUAACCUGGGAAUGGCGUUUGGGACUGGGUCGCUAGAGUGUGGCAGAGGGAGGUGGAAUUCCAGGUGUAGCGGUGAAAUGCGUAGAUAUCUGGAGGAACACCGGUGGCGAAGGCGGCAUCCUGGACCAAUAUUGACGCUGAGGAGCGAAAGCCAGGGGAGCAAACGGG
rnacentral:rRNA from 1 species